GAUCGACGAAGAACGCAGCGAAGUGCGAUAAGUAAAUGUGAAUUGCAGAAUUCAGUGAAUCAUCGAAUCUUUGAACGCACAUUGCGCCCUCUGGUAUUCCGGGGGGGCAUGCCUGUUCGAGCGUCAUUACAACCCUCAAGCUCUGCUUGGUAUUGGGCCUCGCCGGUUCCGGCGGGCCUCAAAGUCAGUGGCGGUGCCAUCCGGCUUCAAGCGUAGUAACACUCUCGCUUCUGGAGACCCGGGUGCGUGCUCGCCAGCAACCCCAACUUUCUAAGGUUGACCUCGGAUCAGGUAGGGAUACCCGCUGAACUUAA
rnacentral:rRNA from 1 species